UACAGAGGGCUCAAGCGUUGUUCGGAUUCAUUGGGCGUAAAGGGUGCGUAGGUGGCGCGGUAAGUCGGGUGUGAAAUUUCGGAGCUUAACUCCGAAACUGCAUUCGAUACUGCGGUGCUUGAGGACUGGAGAGGAGACUGGAAUUCAUGGUGUAGCAGUGAAAUGCGUAGAGAUCAUGAGGAAGACCAGUGGCGAAGGCGGGUCUCUGGACAGUUCCUGACACUGAGACACGAAGGCCAGGGGAGCAAACGGG
rnacentral:rRNA from 1 species